UCUCAGUGAUUCAGUUCCAACAGAACCUUCUCACCCUCCACUGUGGACUCAAUACCAGGGAGAUGAAGAGGAAAGUGUCUGAGAGA